CAAGCGGUGGAUGAUGUGGAUUAAUUCGAUGCAACGCGAAGAACCUUACCUAGCCUUGACAUGCACGGAACCUCGAUGAAAGUUGAGGGUGCCCGAAAGGGAACCGUGACACAGGUGCUGCAUGGCUGUCGUCAGCUCGUGUCGUGAGAUGUUGGGUUAAGUCCCGCAACGAGCGCAACCCUUGUCGUUAGUUGCCAUCAUUAAGUUGGGCACUUUAACGAGACUGCCGGUGACAAACCGGAGGAAGGUGGGGAUGACGUCAAGUCCUCAUGGCCCUUAUGGCUAGGGCUUCACACGUCAUACAAUGGUCGGUACAGAGGGUUGCCAAGCCGCGAGGUGGAGCUAAUCUCUUAAAACCGAUCGUAGUCCGGAUUGCACUCUGCAACUCGAGUGCAUGAAGUCGGAAUCGCUAGUAAUCGCAGGUCAGCAUACUGCGGUGAAUACGUUCCCGGGCCUUGUACACACC
rnacentral:rRNA from 1 species